rnacentral:lncRNA from 1 species
GUCACUCGGUGUUCUCACCGAAAGCACGUAAUCGCCGGUGUAACUCAUGUUGGCUGGGGGGCCUCCCGGCGCGCCGCCGAGGCUGGGGUGCGCCCCC